UGUUUGAGAACCAACAAACCACAGAGCACAGAUGAACAAUGGUGAUGUGGCACUAGGAGACUUUAUACCAGAUGCCCUCCCUGUUACUGCGUUUAGAGGAAGAAAAGCAGCACAUGAGACCAGAGCUUCUUCACUGGAAUAAAUCUUCACACUGUCCAGCUCCAAACUGUGUGUCUCUGUACUUGUGUGUCUCUGUGUGUUUGAUUCUGUUUAAGACAAGACAGAACUGUGGAAAACUAAAGACUGUUUUUGUAUUAUUUUACAGAAUUAGAUCAAUUAAAUUAAAUUAUACAGACUUAUACAUUUCACAAUAAGGUAACAUAAGAUAAAUAUGCAUAUUCAGCAUGAUUUGAUCAAAUUUCAUCAACAUGAAAAAGUGACGUUCAUGUUCUGAGAAAAAUAUGUGUAGAGGAGAUCGAAAUAAGUUUCAAAGCCUAAACAUAAUUUUAUUGCGUGCAACCGCUUUCCAGAACAUUUUUACGCAAA